rnacentral:rRNA from 1 species
GGGUGGCGAGUGGCGGACGGGUGAGUAAUAGGUAGGAAUCUGUCCUGGAGAGUGGGAUAACCCGCGGAAACGCGGGCUAAUACCGCAUGAUAUUGAGAGAUCAAAAGCAGGGGACUGUAAAAGGCCUUGCGCUCUGGGUUGAGCCUACGUCGGAUUAGCUAGUUGGUGGGGUAAAGGCCUACCAAGGCGACGAUCCGUAGCUGGUCUGAGAGGAUGACCAGCCACACUGGGACUGAGACACGGCCCAGACUCCUACGGGAGGCAGCAGUGGGGAAUCUUGGACAAUGGGGGAAACCCUGAUCCAGCGAUACCGCGUGUGUGAAGAAGGCCUUAGGGUUGUAAAGCACUUUAGUUGGGGAAGAAAGGUACAAGGGGAAUAUCCUUGUGCUGUGACGGUACCCAAAGAAUAAGCACCGGCUAACUCUGUGCCAGCAGCCGCGGUAAUACAGAGGGUGCAAGCGUUAAUCAGAAUGACUGGGCGUAAAGGGCGUGUAGGUGGUUGACUAGGUUUGAUGUGAAAUCCCCGGGCUUAACCUGGGAAUGGCGUCGAAAACGGGUUGACUAGAGUGAGGCAGAGGGUUGUGGAAUUUCCGGUGUAGCGGUGAAAUGCGUAGAUAUCGGAAAGAACAUCAGUGGCGAAGGCGACAACCUGGGUCUUAACUGACACUGAGGCGCGAAGGCGUGGGGAGCAAACA